CGGCCACCAGGCAAGCCAGUGCGCCUGCGCAGUUGGGCUUCCGAACUACAGCGCCCGGAAUCCUUAGCGCGGAGCGUUUUUGGUUUUGGUUUUUUGUGGGGUUUUUUGGCCCCCCCAUUUUUCUUCUUUUUCUUCUUCUACUUUUUUGUCUGCGCUUAAGAGGAAAUUGGAUGUGUUUAUCGACAGUUUGGGUGACUUAAAAAAAUCUAUUCAAAUUGAACAAACUUGUAUUGAGAGGCUAUAACUAUGUGUCAAGCAUUAGCACGAAGGAGGCAAAAGAUGACACCACCUCUUGUCAAUUAUAGAAGAUACAGGCCUUUUGCAAAUUAGCUAAAACUUCAGAUGCCAGUAGAGUUGAUCCAAGAAACUCAGUGAAAUUCAAAGAAAACACAUGAAGAAAAUCACACCAAGGCACAGCAAAAUCAAAUUGCUACAAACCAGUAAUAAAGGAAAAUCUUAGAAAAACAAAAGGCAUAAACUGGAGAAUACAAAAAGACUUUUAAAGAUCCCUUGUAUGUAUUUGAUAUGCAUUCUCUGCAGAUGAAAUCUGACCACUGAAGAAAUCCAAAGGGUAAGAAAUGAGGUGUCUAAUGGCUGAUAUGUAUGAGAGGAGUGGUUGCACGAGUGCCUUGCAUUUGCAGAGUUCCUUAAGGCAAAGUGUGCAUACCAUGAACAUGCGAGAGAUGGCAAUGGGGUCAUCUCUGAGAUGAGAGGUAGAGUACAUGGGCUUUUAGCAGAAGCAGCUGAAGUUACUACCAGCUUCCUAAGAACUGAGGAAGGUAUAUUUGCUUAGUGCUCAGAUGCAUGAGCACAUACUAGAAUUCCAGAAACCUGAGAAGAUUCCAGAAAGAUGGGAAGAUUGCUUAAGAACCUGUGGAGGGGCCCCUGGGUGGCUCAGUCAUUAAGCAUCUGGCUUCUGCUAAGGUCUUGUCCUGGGAACAAGUCUGUGUCUGGGCUCUGUGCUGAGCAGGGAGUCUGCUUCUCCGUCUCCCACUCUCUGCUUGUGUUCCCUCUCUUGUUGCU